rfam:Salmo salar isolate Sally breed double haploid chromosome ssa03, whole genome shotgun sequence.
CCCUGUAGCUCAGUUGGUAGAGCAUGGUGUUUGCAACACCAGGGUUGUGGGUUCGAUUCCCACUGGGG